ACUUUUAUUGGGAAAAAUAUAAAAAAUAACCGUACCUUGAAUAGUAACCUCAGAUCUUUUGUGUAAAGUAUUUGGUUAGGCAGAAAUCAAUCUGUAAGGAGAUAUUAAAAGGUUUAUUUCAUUUUAUGACUGAUAUCUAAUGAAUUAGAAUUGUUUUUCUGUUAGAUUUCUGCAUGCAUUGCUUACUAUGGCAUUGAUGAGCCAUUAUAAUGGUAAAGAAUCCUAUUAGAAGGCAAAGGACAGAAGACCUUUUAAAGUUAUAUGUAAUUUGAGAUGAAUUUCCUUUAACUUGAGUUAUACAAAGAAAUUUUGUAAAAAUACUAAAGAUUGUAUACAUACUACGUGAAAUCAGUUAUAAUCCUCUUAGAAGGGUGAUUAAUUACCUGAGAAGAAGUUAGCAAGGGAUCAUGAGUUUCAAAUAAACUUGGUCUGUAUGUAUAAAUAA